rnacentral:lncRNA from 1 species
AAGAUUAAAAUUAACAACUUCCCCAUCGAAUUCCAUGGACAAAGUUCCACUAUACACGUCAAUCUUUGUCCGGGCCGUCUUCAUGAAUGGCCUUCCAAGUAGAAUGGGCAGCGAAGGAGCAUGGUCCGAUUCAUCCAUUUCAAGGACAUAGAAAUCCGCCGGGAAAACUAAAUGAUUAACCUGCACAAGAACAUCUUCCAAAACUCCCUUUGGAUAGGCGUUAGAUCUAUCGGCCAAUUGUAUUAUUACCCCAUCAUUUUUCAAUGCUCCUAAGUUCAUAGAUGCAUAAAUGGAAUAUGGCAUAACAUUUAUAGAAGCACCUAAAUCAAGCAUGGCAGAUUCAAAUCUAGUGUUCCCAAUGACACAAGGAAUGGUAAAGCUACCUGGAUCUUUACAUUUGGGAGGUAAUUUGCGUUGCAAGAUGGCGGACACAUUCUCACCUACCUUUACCACUUCCUUUGGUCGACAUCCUCUUCCUAGUGGUACACAACUCCUUUCAAGAACUUAGCAUACCUCGGAACUUGCUUGAUUGCAUCUAACAAAGGUAUGUUAACUUGAACUUUCCUAAAAGGUUUCAAGGAUAUCCUUUUCUGCCUCUUCUUUCUUCGUUUGCAUGAACCUACUAGGAAAAGGCACAUUUGAAGGGAAAACAUUAGUAUGAACUGAAUUGGACACAUUCUUACCUUUGUGGGACGA